UACAGAGGGUGCGAGCGUUAAUCGGAAUUACUGGGCGUAAAGCGCACGUAGGCGGCUUGGUAUGUCGGGUGUGAAAUCCCCGGGCUCAACCUGGGAACUGCAUCCGAAACUGCCUUGCUCGAGUAUGGGAGAGGGAAGUGGAAUUUCCGGUGUAGCGGUGAAAUGCGUAGAUAUUGGGAGGAACACCAGUGGCGAAGGCGGCUCACUGGACCGGAACUGACGCUGAGGCGCGAAAGCGUGGGGAGCAAACAGG
rnacentral:rRNA from 1 species